GAGGGUAUAGCUCAAGUGGUAAAGAGCAUGCUUAGCAUGCACAAGGUCCUGGGUUCAAACCCCAGUACCUCCU
rfam:Camelus ferus unplaced genomic scaffold scaffold1010, whole genome shotgun sequence.